GGUGAACGCUAGCGGCAGGCCUAACACAUGCAAGUCGAGGGGUAACAUAGAAAAGCUUGCUUUUCUGAUGACGACCGGCGCACGGGUGCGUAACGCGUAUACAACCUACCUUUUAGCGGGGAAUAGCCCAGGGAAACUUUGAUUAAUGCCCCAUAGUAUAUAGACUUCUCCUGAAGUUUAUAUUAAACAUUUAUGGCUAUUAGAUGGGUAUGCGUCCUAUUAGUUAGUUGGUAAGGUAACGGCUUACCAAGGCAGCGAUAGGUAGGGGUCCUGAGAGGGAGAUCCCCACACUGGUACUGAGACACGGACCAGACUCCUACGGGAGGCAGCAGUGAGGAAUAUUGGACAAUGGGCGAGAGCCUGAUCCAGCCAUGCCGCGUGCAGGAAGACUGCCCUAUGGGUUGUAAACUGCUUUUACAGAGGAAGAACCACCCCCACGUGUGGGGGUUUGACGGUACUCUGCGAAUAAGGAUCGGCUAACUCCGUG
rnacentral:rRNA from 1 species